ACUGCCAUUAGGAGUUUUAGUUGCUCUGUCUCUUCCCCAAAUAAAACCCCUUUUCCCGCCCUGUUUUCUCAAGUUCGGCAGAAUUGAACGAAGAAAGAAAUGUAGAAGGAAGGGUAAUGAUUUCUGGAAGCCUCUUCACCGUGUUCGAACUCCUCCGUCCUUGCUCAGCGUCGUCGUUCUUCUCCUUUCCGUCACCGGGGUGUGUGUGAGCUUUCGUGCGCCGCUGCUGUGGGCGCGUAAUCGUCGAGCUUCCCUCCUCCUUCCUCUGUGACGAUGGUGUGAUGAGGGUAUGUGGACCUUCUUCCUCCUUUUACCUGCUUUGUGCGUGUCGUGGGAGGUUUAAGGAUAGAGCUUCGUUUUCCUUGUUGUGGCAGUGGCUAUGAGUGGAGUAGGAGUUUAAUGUAAACUGAAAUUGACAAGACAAGGAGUUUAAUUUUGGCUUAAAGAAUAUGGGUUAUCUCAUAUUCCGGCUGGUCACACUUAUAUUUUUGGAGUGUGACAAUCGUUGCCCUUGGAAGAGAAUCAAAGCUUGAUGAAUGCAAAGUGGCUCUUAUGACUCACUCACCUAAGUUUUUGCUUACACUUCUGCAACGCUUCAUCAAGCACUCCAGAUUGGUCUCCCAAAUCCAUUCCCUUGUAAUCACCAGUGGUCACCUCCUCCAUCACUCCAAUACACCGUCACAUCUAAAAUGGACGAGCACCCUCUUAUACAACGCCUUGAUCAGAGCUCAAUACAUUUCUGGACUCUCUCACAAGGCUCUUCUUCUUUUCACUCACAUGCUUGCUAGCCAAGUCCUGCCAAACGACCACACGUUUCCGCCCCUCAUCAAAGCUGCUUCUCACUCGCCUUCUUUGGUAAGAGUACUCCACGCUCAAGUGAUCAAGCGAGGUGUUCUAUGUGACCCAUUUGUACAAACCACUUUCAUUGCUCUCUAUGCGGGUAAUUACAAUUUAGCUGAUGCUUGUAAGGUGUUCAAUGAAAUUCCUCAUAUUUGCACUGUGGCAUGUAAUGCAAUGCUACAUGCUUUCUGUACAAAUGGGAAUAUGGAGUCUGCUAAUUCACUCUUCAAACACGUGUGCAAGCGGGAUGUUAUUUCUUGGUCAACUAUGAUAAACGGGUUUGCAAGGAAUGCAAAAUUUGGCAAGGCUAUUCAGUUUUUUGCGAAGAUGAUGGCUCACAGGGAUGUCUUGGAUCAUUUGGUCAAGCCAAACGAGGCUACAUAUGUGGGUGUCCUUUCAUCCUGUGCCAAUCUUGAUGGCAAAGCAGCACUCAAUUGUGCAAAACAGGUACAUGGAUACACCCUAGUUAAUGAAAUCAACUUGGGUGUUUUUGUGGGAACUUCACUAGUAGAUGUUUAUGGGAAGAUGGGUUGCCUCAAUUAUGCCUUGAAUGUCUUUAACUGUUUGGAUGUUAGAGAGGUCUGCACUUGGAAUGCGAUGAUUUCUUCACUAGCUUCAAAUGGUAGAGAGAAGGAGGCUCUCAGUAUGUUUGAAGAUAUGAAGGCUGAAGGGCUCCGACCAAAUAGUAUCACCUUUGUAGCAGUUCUUACCGCUUGUUCUCGUGGAAGACUUGUUAAAGAAGGAUUGUACUUGUUUCGGUCAAUGUCAAAUUACUAUAAAGUAGUACCAUUAAUGGAGCACUAUGGGUGUGUGGUUGAUCUUUUGGGAAAAGCAGGGCAUUUGGAGGAAGCAGCUGAUAUCAUAAAUAAUAUGCCUUGUAAGCCUGAUACAUCUGUUCUAUUGGCUCUAUUGAGUGCUUGUAGAAUUCAUGGAGCUAUAGACCUUGGAGAAGAAAUAGGAAGAAGGCUGCUUGAGUUGCAGACUCAACAUUGCGGCCGAUAUGUAUUAUUAUCAAGCAUCAACGCAGAUAAGGAAAGAUGGGAUCAUGCUGCUGAUAUUAGGAAAGAAAUGAUGCAGACUGGAAUUCAGAAAAUUCCAGCAUUCAGCAAGGUUCAUUUAACAUAAUUUUUCCCCUUCUCGACCAAGUGACUAUUCAAAAUAUUUGGAGAAAGGAGAAGAGCAAGUUCUAGUGUUGCAUCUGAACAUUAAAUAAUAAUCAACGAUAGUUAGAGGAUUCCAGCUAGUUAUUUUAGCUAUCCCUAACAAAUUUCAGUGCAGGCGGAUAUGAACGAGUGACGUGGUGUUUGGACUUUGAUUAGUGUAGCUGACCCAACUAUCCGUGGUGCAAUAAAUUACAGUCAAAUCUCUGGCUCGGAAUUACCUGUGAUGAUUCGGGUCUUCAUACAUGAUAGAUUCCAGAAGACCGUGACAGCCGAUACUACCACUAACUUCUUGUGAGUACAACCAUUCCAUGUGUCCAUCAACCGCAAUUUGAAGCAUUCAGCUGCACCGCAGUUUUUUUUUUUUUGUAAAUUAUUAGUCAAGUAUCGAAAAUUGGGAAAGACCUAUAUUAUUUCCUCUAAGCAGGAGGACUACCUCUCUGGUUUAUCUGAGCAGAGUAGCAAGAAUAAAGCUUUGGGACACUGAAGCUGACAAAAAAUCCUGUGAAUCCAUAUCGCAGAAAAGCUAAGAUAUUUGUUGACGGAACUCAUGUAUGAAUGCAAACAUGAUAAUUGCUGUUUCAUUUUCUCAGCAAAUUGGCCAUGGAGUUCAUUAGGUACUCACCAAUGGCACACAGCCUCCAAAUUGUAAGAAGGUGGCCAUACUCUGCUCCUAGAAGAAGGAAAGGAACUACCUGCAUCCAUUAAAGACCAGUUGUUUUAACAUAUUGAGCAGUUUAAGACAUGAUUUUGAAACUGAAAGAUUGGCCUUGGGGACUACUUUUAGGGUCAUGGAUGGUUCCCCUGAGAAAAUCUCUCGUAUCUUUGAAAUUGCAAGAUUUAAAGUGGGAAGAAUCAAUUUUGCGAGACGUAAAAUGUCAACUUCUUUCAGCUUGACUUCGCCUUUCUUUUUGAUCUGGUUUCUGAAAUACAAAUUUUGAAGAUUUAGAACACAUUCAAACAAGGAUAGUUUGGACUUUGCCGGAUAACUAUACAAGUUGGAAGCUUUCACCUUUGACAAAUUGAGUUGGAGAUGAAAGAAACACCCAGAUAUAGAAUUGCUAGAUGUGACAUGGCUGAGAAAACGCUGGAAUGACAAGUUUAAGAAUGUCUUAGACUUUUCUCUACUUGAUUGGAAAGUGGAGAAACUGGAGGGGGGAAAAACAAAACAAAGCAGAGAGGAAGGUUGCCAACCUCAAGUUCAGAC